CACAUACACACAUACAGCCAGAUACACACACAUACAGCCAGAUACACAUACACACAUACAGCCAGAUACACACACACACAUACAGCCAGAUACACAUACACAAAUACAGCCAGAUACACAUACAGCCAGAUACACACACAUACAGCCAGAUACACAUACACACAUACAGCCAGAUACACAUACACACAUACAGCCAGAUACACACACAUACAGCCAGAUACACACACACACACACAGUCAGAUACACACACACACAUACAGCCAGAUACACACUCAUACAGCCAGAUACACAUACAUACAGCCAGAUACACAUACACACAUACAGCCAGAUACACACACAUACAGACAGAUACACAUACACACAUACAGCCAGAUACACACACACACACACA